GAUGAACGCUGGCGGCGUGCUUAACGCAUGCAAGUCGAACGGAAAGGCCCAAGCUUGCUUGGGUACUCGAGUGGCGAACGGGUGAGUAACACGUGGGUGAUCUGCCCUGCACUUCGGGAUAAGCCUGGGAAACUGGGUCUAAUACCGGAUAGGACGAUGGUUUGGAUGCCAUUGUGGAAAGUUUUUUCGGUGUGGGAUGAGCUCGCGGCCUAUCAGCUUGUUGGUGGGGUAAUGGCCUACCAAGGCGUCGACGGGUAGCCGGCCUGAGAGGGUGUACGGCCUCAUUGGGACUGAGAUACGGCCCAGACUCCUACGGGAGGCAGCAGUGGGGAAUAUUGCACAAUGGGCGCAAGCCUGAUGCAGCGACGCCGCGUGGGGGAUGACGGCCUUCGGGUUGUAAACUCCUUUCGCUAGGGACGAAGCGUUUUUGUGACGGUACCUGGAGAAGAAGCACCGGCUAACUACGUG
rnacentral:rRNA from 1 species